rnacentral:rRNA from 1 species
UACAGAGGGUGCAAGCGUUGUUCGGAAUCAUUGGGCGUAAAGGGCGCGUAGGCGGCCUUGCAAGUCGAAUGUGAAAGCCCAGGGCUCAACCUUGGAAGUGCAUCCGAAACUGCAAGGCUCGAAUCUCGGAGAGGGUGGUGGAAUUCCCAGUGUAGAGGUGAAAUUCGUAGAUAUUGGGAGGAACACCAGUGGCGAAGGCGACCACCUGGACGAAGAUUGACGCUGAGGCGCGAAAGCGUGGGGAGCAAACAGG